rnacentral:rRNA from 1 species
GACGAACGCUGGCGGCGUGCCUAAUACAUGCAGGUCGAGCGGACUGAUUAAGAGCUUGCUCUUAUGACGUUAGCGGCGGACGGGUGAGUAACACGUGGGCAACCUGCCCUGUAGAUCGGGAUAACACCGAGAAAUCGGUGCUAAUACCGGGUAAUAUCUGAGAUCACAUGAUCUUAGGUUAAAAGAUGGCUCCGGCUAUCACUACAGGAUGGGCCCGCGGCGCAUUAGCUAGUUGGUAAGGUAAUGGCUUACCAAGGCGACGAUGCGUAGCCGACCUGAGAGGGUGAUCGGCCACACUGGGACUGAGACACGGCCCAGACUCCUACGGGAGGCAGCAGUAGGGAAUCUUCCGCAAUGGACGAAAGUCUGACGGAGCAACGCCGCGUGAGUGAUGAAGGGUUUCGGCUCGUAAAGCUCUGUUGUUAGGGAAGAAACAGUACCGAACGAACUAGGUCGGUACCUUGACGGUACCUAACCAGAAAGCCACGGCUAACUACGUG